AUGGUUUGCUUUCGGCUGUUCCCCUUCCUCCUCGGCACGGCCAUCGGCGUGUACGCGGCCCAGAACUACAAGGUCCCGAAUCUCCGCCGCCUCGCCAAGCGCUACGAGGAGGAAUACCGCAGGAAGCCAGAAAUCGGUGGCGAGGGGAGGAAGAAGAAGGUGGAGAUCAACGACAACGAGGAGUAG
rnacentral:rRNA from 1 species